rnacentral:lncRNA from 1 species
UCGUACACCACGAUGCUGCCACGUGGUGAUAAUCCUCGUUGAGCUUUAAAUAAUUCCUUAAAAAAAAAGAAAACAAAAAUAAAAAGGUAAAAUAUAACAGCCCAUGGGCCUCGUCCGACCCAGGACAACACAUGCGUGUCAGUAAAGGACGGGGCCCUACUUUCACCAUAUCGUGUCUAAUCCUCAUUGGUCCACGUACAUGCCAUCUAAAUCUAUCUCGACACGUGUUCCUCCUUCAAUCACCAGAUCCGUAGAUCCGACGGCCCAGAUUACCGGUCUUGCAUUCAGCGUUUC